UAAUGGAACUUCCUCACCGAUGAACAGAAGAACACAUGGCUGAUAAGCCAAGUGCUAAUUUUGUAGAACAUGUGAGGAGGAGAACAAGACGCGAAAAACCGUUGAGCAAACGUUGCCGAACGCGA
ensembl:ncRNA C05E11.13 ncRNA